rnacentral:rRNA from 1 species
CCUACGGGGGGCUGCAGUGGGGAAUAUUGGACAAUGGGGGCAACCCUGAUCCAGCCAUGCCGCGUGUGUGAAGAAGGCCCUCGGGUUGUAAAGCACUUUCAGUGAGGAAGAACGCCUGGUGGUUAAUACCCAUCAGGAAAGACAUCACUCACAGAAGAAGCACCGGCUAACUCCGUGCCAGCAGCCGCGGUAAUACGGAGGGUGCGAGCGUUAAUCGGAAUUACUGGGCGUAAAGCGCGCGUAGGUGGCUUGAUAAGCCGGUUGUGAAAGCCCCGGGCUCAACCUGGGAACGGCAUCCGGAACUGUCCAGCUAGAGUGCAGGAGAGGAAGGUAGAAUUCCCGGUGUAGCGGUGAAAUGCGUAGAGAUCGGGAGGAAUACCAGUGGCGAAGGCGGCCUUCUGGACUGACACUGACACUGAGGUGCGAAAGCGUGGGUAGCAAACAGGAUUAGAUACCCCUGUAGUC